rnacentral:rRNA from 1 species
AGCGCAAGUCAUCAGCUUGCGUUGAUUACGUCCCUGCCCUUUGUACACACCGCCCGUCGCUACUACCGAUUGAAUGGCUCAGUGAGGCUUCCGGACUGGCCCAGAGAGGUCGGCAACGACCACUCAGGGCCGGAAAGCUAUCCAAACUCGGUCAUUUAGAGGAAGUAAAAGUCGUAACAAGGUCUCCGUUGGUGAACCAGCGGAGGGAUCAUUA